GUAAACUGCUUUUGUACGGGAAGAAAAAAAGCUACGUGUAGUUUACUGACGGUACCGUAAGAAUAAGGAUCGGCUAACUCCGUGCCAGCAGCCGCGGUAAUACGGAGGAUCCAAGCGUUAUCCGGAAUCAUUGGGUUUAAAGGGUCCGUAGGCGGCCUUAUAAGUCAGCGGUGAAAGUUUUUGGCUUAACCAAAAAAUUGCCGUUGAUACUGUAGGGCUUGAAUGUUUGUGAAGUAACUAGAAUAUGUAGUGUAGCGGUGAAAUGCUUAGAUAUUACAUGGAAUACCAAUUGCGAAGGCAGGUUACUAACAAAUGAUUGACGCUGAUGGACGAAAGCGUGGGUAGCGAACAGGAUUAGAUACCCUGGUAGUCCACGCCGUAAACGAUGGAUACUAGCUGUUUGGUUGUAAGACUGAGUGGCUAAGCGAAAGUGAUAAGUAUCCCACCUGGGGAGUACGGGCGCAAGCCUGAAACUCAAAGGAAUUGACGGGGGCCCGCACAAGCGGUGGAGCAUGUGGUUUAAUUCGAUGAUACGCGAGGAACCUUACCAGGGCUUAAAUGUAGAUUGACAGGCGUGGAAACAUGCUUUUCUUCGGACAAUUUACAAGGUGCUGCAUGGU
rnacentral:rRNA from 1 species